AGAGUUUGAUCCUGGCUCAGGACGAACGCUGGCGGCGUGCUUAACACAUGCAAGUCGAACGGAAAGGCCCUUCGGGGUACUCGAGUGGCGAACGGGUGAGUAACACGUGGGUGAUCUGCCCUGCACUUUGGGAUAAGCCUGGGAAACUGGGUCUAAUACCGAAUAUGACCACGCUCUUCAUGGGGUGUGGUGGAAAGCUUUUGCGGUGUGGGAUGGGCCCGCGGCCUAUCAGCUUGUUGGUGGGGUAAUGGCCUACCAAGGCGACGACGGGUAGCCGGCCUGAGAGGGUGACCGGCCACACUGGGACUGAGAUACGGCCCAGACUCCUACGGGAGGCAGCAGUGGGGAAUAUUGCACAAUGGGCGCAAGCCUGAUGCAGCGACGCCGCGUGAGGGAUGACGGCCUUCGGGUUGUAAACCUCUUUCACCAGGGACGAAGCGCAAGUGACGGUACCUGGAGAAGAAGCACCGGCCAACUACGUGCCAGCAGCCGCGGUAAUACGUAGGGUGCGAGCGUUGUCCGGAAUUACUGGGCGUAAAGAGCUCGUAGGUGGUUUGUCGCGCUGUUCGUGAAAACUCACAGCUUAACUGUGGGCGUGCGGGCGAUACGGGCAGACUAGAGUACUGCAGGGGAGACUGGAAUUCCUGGUGUAGCGGUGGAAUGCGCAGAUAUCAGGAGGAACACCGGUGGCGAAGGCGGGUCUCUGGGCAGUAACUGACGCUGAGGAGCGAAAGCGUGGGGAGCGAACAGGAUUAGAUACCCCGGUAGUCCAA
rnacentral:rRNA from 1 species